rnacentral:lncRNA from 10 species
ACCCAAAUGUCCAUGAAUGAUAGAUUGAAUUAAGAAAAUGUGGCACAUAUACACCAUGGAAUACUAUGCAGCCAUAAAAAAUGAUGAGUUCCUGUCCUUUGUAGUGACAUGGAUGAAGCUGGAAACCAUCAUUCUCAGCAAACUGUCCCAAGGACAAAAAACCAAACACCGCAUGUUCUCACUCAUAGGUGGGAAUUGAACAAUGAGAACACUUGGACACAGGAAGGGGAAUAUCACAUACCAAGGCCUGUCAUGGGGUAGGGGGAGCAGGCUUACCAGUGAAUUUACUCUGUUUGCUAACUUCUCUUCUGUAUUUUUCCAGAAAGAAAAAAACUGAAGGCACCUAUGACUUACCUUACUGGGACCGGGCAGGUUGGUGGAAAGGAAUGAAGCAGUUUCUUCCUGCAAAAGCAGUGGACCAUGAGGAAACCCCAGUUCGCUAUAGCAGCAGCGAAGUUAAUCACCUGAGUCCAAGAGAAGUCACCACAGUGCUGCAGGCUGACUCUGCAGAGUAUG